UCAGAUUGAACGCUGGCGGCAUGCCUUACACAUGCAAGUCGAACGGCAGCACGGGGCAACCUGGUGGCGAGUGGCGAACGGGUGAGUAAUGCAUCGGAACGUGCCAUUGAGUGGGGGAUAACGUAGCGAAAGUUGCGCUAAUACCGCAUAUUCUGUGAGCAGGAAAGCAGGGGACCGCAAGGCCUUGCGCUCUUUGAGCGGCCGAUGUCAGAUUAGCUAGUUGGUGAGGUAACGGCUUACCAAGGCGACGAUCUGUAGCGGGUCUGAGAGGAUGAUCCGCCACACUGGAACUGAGACACGGUCCAGACUCCUACGGGAGGCAGCAGUGGGGAAUUUUGGACAAUGGGCGCAAGCCUGAUCCAGCCAUGCCGCGUGAGUGAAGAAGGCCUUCGGGUUGUAAAGCUCUUUCGGCCGGGAAGAAAUCGCAUGGGUUAAUACCCUGUGUGGAUGACGGUACCGGAAUAAGAAGCACCGGCUAACUACGUG
rnacentral:rRNA from 1 species